CAGGGCUACACAUGAGCGGUUUCCCUGUCAGGAUCAGUGCCUGAGUGGAUCUCCACGCAUAGUUCCUGACAGCUUUGCCCCCAGCAGGGCACUUGUGAGGAGAAGCAGUCUGGGCUUCCCAAGUCAGCCGGGGCCAUCAAUGUUUUCCCCUUCUGCUCCUCCAGCAGGAAGCAGCUAAACAGAUCUGCUGCUGCAUUGUCCAGAGUGGUUGUGCUGAGGUGGGCUGGGGCCACAAACUUCUCAUUUGUUACACUGGAGGAGCUGCACUGGCAGAGGUCAUCCAGAGCAGAGGCUUUCCAAGAUCUGACGUAUAGUUUUGGCUCUUCCCACUCUGAAAGCACGGCAGUAUCUCAACGGUGGGAGAUAAGCUGUGGACACGUGGCUGUUUUACAUCUUCAUUGUGUCUAGUGACUGGAGCAAGGUUCUGAAACAUUCACUACUCUCAUCCCGUUCCCUUCUGGAGGUGAGUUGCAAGGAAUUUAGUGAAGGCAUGAGUGAGUACUGCUUUUAUGUCCUGGUGCAGUGUGCAUUCUCU
rnacentral:lncRNA from 13 species